CUCAAAGGAAUUGACGGGGGCGCGCACAAGCGGCGGAGCAUGCGGAUUAAUUCGAUGCAACGCGAAGAACCUUACCAAGGCUUGACAUGUUCUCGAUCGCCGUAGAGAUACGGUUUCCCCUUUGGGGCGGGUUCACAGGUGGUGCAUGGUUGUCGUCAGCUCGUGUCGUGAGAUGUUGGGUUAAGUCCCGCAACGAGCGCAACCCUCGUUCCAUGUUGCCAGCACGUAAUGGUGGGGACUCAUGGGAGACUGCCGGGGUCAACUCGGAGGAAGGUGAGGACGACGUCAAAUCAUCAUGCCCCUUAUGUCUUGGGCUUCACGCAUGCUACAAUGGCCGGUACAAUGGGUUGCGAUACUGUGAGGUGGAGCUAAUCCCAAAAAGCCGGUCUCAGUUCGGAUUGGGGUCUGCAACUCGACCCCAUGAAGUCGGAGUCGCUAGUAAUCGCAGAUCAGCAACGCUGCGGUGAAUACGUUCCCGCCCCUUGCACACACCGCCCG
rnacentral:rRNA from 1 species